UGCCUUAAUUAUGCAAAUGAGUAUUGUGUGUGAUUUCUCUUCCCAUCUCAAUCAAUCUUCUGUAAUUCCCCUCCCCCAAUUCUGAGUUGUACUUGUUUAAAACUUACAAUCAAAAUCCAACCAUUAGCCUAUUAUUAUUGUUCAUUGCACAAUUUCUGUUUGCUUGAUCUUGUCUUGUCUUAAUCAUCAACGUUACAGAGUGAGGCAGAGAAUCGGUAGCUGGAGGCUGAGGUCCACGCCAUUUCGUGAAGAACAGAUCCAUUGGUUCUUCCCCGGGGUCUGGUAAACAGAUAUGUAUCAGAUUGUUCAAAUUCAUCAUGUUUAUUGUUUUGUCUAUGCGUUUGAUAACGACUCCAUUGAUUUAUUAUUUGUAACCAUUUGAUUCGGUGAUUGUUCUGUCUCUGAUUUGAGAUCCGACAUCACUGCACUUGGAUUUCUGUUUUCUAGAUCGGAUUGGGUGUGGUAGAAAUACGUUGGAUGGAUAUCCAGACGAUUUGUUUUACACACACAAUGGUGUUUUGUCGUAUUCUAAGCUAGGGAUCCGAUGUGUCAUCUGGAAUAGUUGUGGAAGCAUUAGACAACAACUCGAAUUGUUCUUCUUAAGGGAGGGAGGGAGGAUAGGCUGAAAGAUGAGGGUGAAGGACCGAAACCCGUUUCUGAAGUCUAUUGUGAUUCUGUUUCUUUACAACUUACCGUGUUUGUUUGUGCGUGCUCGAUGUCUUGUCCAGAUCCAUGUGCCAAAGCCCAAUUAAGGUUACAUAAUGGGUGCCUCUAGCUAUCUGUGUGAAGAUGGUUAAGAAGCGGUUUAUGUGAGUCUAAACUGCUCUAUGUAAUAAAAUCAUCUUCCAUCAACAUAUUGACAAUCUUGCUGCAGAACUCCCCUUCUUUUGAAUAUCACUUUAGUUAAGAAUAUAUACUUCUUUUGUUUUUUUUUAUAUGUAAAUAAAUAGGUAAUGUUGGCGUCUUUUAGGAAAUUCUACAACAAGUCAACAACCAUUCUAUAUCAUUAAGAGGCAGCAACAGGUUGGUUGAGGUAGAUGCAAUGUUUGCAAAACGACCAUCUGACCCAUUCAAAUUUUAGAGCUUUUGUGCUCAUUUUUUGUGAAGUUGAAUAUGAUUGAUUCCUUGUACGUAUUUGUAUCAUAGUAUACAUGAAAUUAUUAACUGUGAACACUAGCUAGCAAUAAAUGAUUCAUUUCACAAA